UACGGGGGGGGGGCAAGCGUUGUUCGGAAUUACUGGGCGUAAAGGGCUUGUAGGUGGCCAACUAAGUCAGACGUGAAAUCCCUCGGCUUAACCGGGGAACUGCGUCUGAUACUGGAUGGCUCGAGUUUGGGAGAGGGAUGCGGAAUUCCAGGUGUAGCGGUGAAAUGCGUAGAUAUCUGGAGGAACACCGGUGGCGAAGGCGGCAUCCUGGACCAACACUGACACUGAAAAGCGAAAGCCAGGGGAGCAAACGGG
rnacentral:rRNA from 1 species